ACCGAUAUAGAUCAGUUGGUAGAGCGUUAGACUAUAGAUCGAAAAUUCCACGGUUCGAUUUCGGGUUCCGGUA
rnacentral:tRNA from 1 species